UACGGGGGGGGCAAGCGUUGUUCGGAAUUACUGGGCGUAAAGGGCUCGUAGGCGGCCAACUAAGUCAGACGUGAAAUCCCUCGGCUUAACCGGGGAACUGCGUCUGAUACUGGAUGGCUUGAGGUUGGGAGAGGGAUGCGGAAUUCCAGGUGUAGCGGUGAAAUGCGCAGAUAUCAGGAGGAACACCAAUAGCGAAGGCAGCUCGCUGGGACGGUACUGACGCUGAGGCGCGAAAGCGUGGGGAGCGAACAGG
rnacentral:rRNA from 1 species